rnacentral:rRNA from 1 species
CCUACGGGAGACAGCAGUGGGGGAUAUUGCACAAUGGGGGGAACCCUGAUGCAGCGACGCCGCGUGGGUGAAGAAGCGCCUCGGCGCGUAAAGCCCUGUCAGCAGGGAAGAAAAUGACGGUACCUGAAGAAGAAGCCCCGGCGAACUACGUGCCAGCAGCCGCGGUAAUACGUAGGGGGCAAGCGUUAUCCGGAGUUACUGGGUGGAAAGGGGGCGGAGACGGCGAUGCAAGCCAGGAGUGAAAGCCCGGGGCCCAACCCCGGGCCUGCUCUUGGAACUGCGUGGCUGGAGUGCAGGAGGGGCAGGCGGAAUUCCUGGUGUAGCGGUGAAAUGCGUAGAUAUCAGGAGGAACACCGGUGGCGAAGGCGGCCUGCUGGACUGCAACUGACGUUGAGGCCCGAAAGCGUGGGGAGCAAACAGGAUUAGAUACCCCGGUAGUC